AUCUCCAUUUUCUCUAGCUCCAAGGGAAAGGAGAGAUUGUGAAUUUUAUAAGAUUAUUUUCACUUCUAUAUUUACUUUUAUAUGCUAAAAUAAAGAAACUUUAAUAUAAAAGUGGAUUUGCUCUAAUUUAUGUCUGUAUAACAGAAUUCCUCUACUUUUAAGACAAAAUAUAAAAAAAAUACAAUUUUCAUCCCUAUAUAUAGAGUUAAAAAUAAGAUUGUUAUACAUUUUUAUGUAUAAAUAGAGAAACUCUACUAUAUUGACAUAAAUUAGAGCAAAACCAUCUCUGGAUGCUGCUUUCAUCCUUCUUUUAUUGUUGGGAGAUAACUACAUAACAAAAAGUACAAACAAAAGAGAAUCAUCAACCCUCGUUCCACCUUGAGAAGAUCAAGGAUAAGAUGAGCACCGAACUGUGGGUGCAAUGUGAUGACUAUGUAAGGCGCAUGAGCAUAGGAAGGAGACAGCUCAAAGGAGAAUCUCUGUAGAAUCAGAGACAAAGCCAUCUUUGCCUCCAAAAGACCAAAAUUCUGGCCAAUGCAGAUCCUUGGUCCCCACGCAAAGGGGAAAAAUGAUACUUGGCCCUUUGUUGCCUUUGAGACACCCUCUUUGAACCUCUCGGGCUUGAACUCGGCUGCAUCGCUGCCCCAUAGCUGUGUGUCACGAUGGACUAAUAGAGUAGGUAGACUGAUCUGAACGCCUCCUGGCAGUGUAAGGUCGCCUAGCUUCAUCUCUUUGUGAAUGGCUCGGGUCAUCUGCGUUAGUGGAGGAUAUAGCCUAAGGACCUCAUAUAGUAUCAUGGUCAUCUGUUGAAAGCAUUCAGCAAAAUCAUCAUAACACAACAAACGUACUGAAGUCACUUGGAAAUUAUUUUAAUUUAGUUUUACUUACAACUUUGCGCUGGUUCAAGCCUUCCGUAUCUGGUUCUUUAUCACCAAAAACUUGCUUCACUUCUUCUCGUGCGCGAGCUUGCCAGUCUUGGUGUUGGCUUAACAUAACCAUUGUCCAGACCAGAAGAACUGACGUUGUCUCUUGUCCGGCGAAAUAGAACAACUUACACUCCUCCAUCACAUCUUCAAUGCUCAUUUCAUUUCCUUUAGCUUGCCCUGAAUUUGAUUCAAGAAGUAUACCUAGCAAAUCAUCGCUUGGUGCGUCUCCAGCUUCUCUAGCCUUUAACCUUUUGUUGAUGAUCCCUUUCAGUAUAACAUGGAUUUCUCCGCAUGCUGCUUUCAUCCUUCUAUUAUCCUUUGUUGGGAGAUAACUACAAAAAAACAAAA